rnacentral:sRNA from 1 species
AAUGUAAAAUAGUAAAAGUGGUGUAAUUCUUUUUGUGAUUAUAAGUGUUUUUUGAAAUAUUUUUUUGUGAUUAUAAUUCUUUUUGAGUGGAAUAUGCUCAUAUAUAGAUAUCAAAAUGAAGUAAAAAUACCAAUAUUGUUGAACGGUUAAGAUUGUCUACUUUGGAUGCUAAACGCGAUUAGGUAUUUGAAUCCGUGAUUAAGAGACCAUUACUCCUAACCCACCCAAAAUUAAAAAUGUAGAUCCUAUAAGCUUUAAU